GAUGAACGCUAGCGGGAGGCCUAACACAUGCAAGCCGAGCGGUAUUUGUUCUUCGGAACAGAGAGAGCGGCGCACGGGUGCGGAACACGUGUGCAACCUGCCUUUAUUUGGGGGAUAGCCUUUCGAAAGGAAGAUUAAUACCCCAUAAUAUAUUGAGUGGCAUCACUUGAUAUUGAAAACUCCGGUGGAUAGAAAUGGGCACGCGCAAGAUUAGAUAGUUGGUGAGGUAACGGCUCACCAAGUCAAUGAUCUUUAGGGGGCCUGAGAGGGUGAUCCCCCACACUGGUACUGAGACACGGACCAGACGCCUACGGGAGGCAGCAGUGAGGAAUAUUGGACAAUGGGUUAGUGCCUGAUCCAGCCAUCCCGCGUGAAGGACGACGGCCCUAUGGGUUGUAAACUUCUUUUGUAUAGGGAUAAACCUACUCUCGUGAGAGUAGCUGAAGGUACUAUACGAAUAAGCACCGGCUAACUCCGUG
rnacentral:rRNA from 1 species